CCUACGGGAGGCUGCAGUGGGGAAUAUUGCACAAUGGGGGAAACCCUGAUGCAGCGACGCCGCGUGAGUGAAGAAGUAUCUCGGUACGUAAAGCUCUAUCAGCAGGGAAGAAAAUGACGGUACCUGACUAAGAAGCCCCGGCUAACUCCGUGCCAGCAGCCGCGGUAAUACGUAGGGGGCAAGCGUUAUCCGGAUUUACUGGGGUGAAAGGGAGCGUAGACGGGAGCACAAGUCUGGAGUGAAAUCCCGGGGCUUAACCCCGGAACUGCUUUGGAAAUUGUGCGGCGGGAGUGCAGGAGGGGUAAGAGGAAUUCCUAGUGUAGCGGUGAAAUGCGUAGAUAUUAGGAGGAACACCGGUGGCGAAGGCGGCUUACUGGACUGUAACUGACGUUGAGGCUCGAAAGCGUGGGGAGCAAACAGGAUUAGAUACCCCAGUAGUC
rnacentral:rRNA from 1 species